rnacentral:rRNA from 1 species
UGCAAGUCGAACGCUUCUUUCCUCCCGAGUGCUUGCACUCAAUUGGAAAGAGGAGUGGCGGACGGGUGAGUAACACGUGGGUAACCUACCCAUCAGAGGGGGAUAACACUUGGAAACAGGUGCUAAUACCGCAUAACAGUUUAUGCCGCAUGGCAUAAGAGUGAAAGGCGCUUUCGGGUGUCGCUGAUGGAUGGACCCGCGGUGCAUUAGCUAGUUGGUGAGGUAACGGCUCACCAAGGCCACGAUGCAUAGCCGACCUGAGAGGGUGAUCGGCCACACUGGGACUGAGACACGGCCCAGACUCCUACGGGAGGCAGCAGUAGGGAAUCUUCGGCAAUGGACGAAAGUCUGACCGAGCAACGCCGCGUGAGUGAAGAAGGUUUUCGGAUCGUAAAACUCUGUUGUUAGAGAAGAACAAGGACGUUAGUAACUGAACGUCCCCUGACGGUAUCUAACCAGAAAGCCACGGCUAACUACGUGCCAGCAGCCGCGGUAAUACGUAGGUGGCAAGCGUUGUCCGGAUUUAUUGGGCGUAAAGCGAGCGCAGGCGGUUUCUUAAGUCUGAUGUGAAAGCCCCCGGCUCAACCGGGGAGGGUCAUUGGAAACUGGGAGACUUGAGUGCAGAAGAGGAGAGUGGAAUUCCAUGUGUAGCGGUGAAA